GCCUUGAAUUUGUUAUAGGCCUGUGAAAAACUUUGACGAAGUUACCCUGUUGAGACGAUCUCCAUUGUUGGAAAUAUUUGCUCUGAGGGGAAGGGCUCAACCAUCAACAUCAAGGGGAAGAUUACAAGUGCCAACAAGAAGGGGCCGAAGGGGCCGAAGAGGUCAACAAUCUUCAUAAACUUGAAACUUUGUUUUUUUGCUUUUGGUUUGUAACUUAAUUAUUAAAACUUUGGAUUGUAACUAAUUUUUUUGCUUUUGGUUUGUAACUUAAUUAUUAAAACUUUAGAUUGUAACUAAUUUUUUUGCUUUUGGGUUUGUUACUUUAUUUAUUUUAAAACCUUGGCUACCAUACAAGUGGAAAAUGCAGCUGAACUGCUCUUAUAAACAUUGCAGGUUUGCCCAAUAUUUUUUUUA